rnacentral:lncRNA from 1 species
CUUUAACCUGGAAGGUGGAGGUUGCAGUGAGCCAAGAUUGUGGCCACUGCACUCCAGCCCGGGCGACAGUGCGAGACUCCAUCUCAAAAAAAAAAUAAUAAAAUAAAAAUAAAAGACUGCAGGCCCUUUCUCCUUCCCCGUGCCCAUUUCUGUAGAAUCAUUUAUUCAUUAAAUUCACUGAACACUUUCCAUGGGCUGGGCACUCUUAGGCAUUGGGAACAUAGGAGUACACAGGUCCUGGGCACUGUCCUCCCCUGUGGCUGGGUCAGUCAUCCUUACUCUGAAUCAUGGCCCAGACUGGCCUUGCCCUACUCCUCUCUAGGUAGAGCAGUGAUCUCAGGCCAACUCUUGCAUUUUGUUCCAGAAACCUUGAUUAUUUCCCUGACUAUUGGUCACUUCCCGAAAUGCACUGAACUGUGCCAGGAAUAGGAUAUGUUUUUAAGUGCUUGAGACACAGACAAGUGGCAGACGCAUACCCAAAUUCCAACCAUACUUUACUUCUGACCUAAUUUUAAUAUAUGUUUCAUGCAGUUACACAAUUAUCUGUGCAUAAUGCUCUGAGAAAAGGGAUGGCACAUACAGUUUCUCCUGAAGCGGGAAACAGAGCCCAGUUGGUAAGGUGGCCAGUCUCUAGGGCAUCUUAGAUGAACCUUGUUUCUUCCUAUUACUUUUCCUUCAUCUACUUUUUUUUUUUCUGAGAUAGAGCCUUGCUCUGUCGCCCAGGCUGGAGUGCAGUGGCAUGAUCUCGGCUCACUGCAACCUCUGCCUCCUAGGUUCAAGGGAUCUUCCUACCUCAGGCUCCUGAGUAGCCAGGAUUACAGGUGCAUGCCACCGUGCCCGGCUAAUACUUUGCAUUUUUGUAAAGACGGGGUUUCACCAUGUUGGCCAGGCGGGUCUCGAACCCCUGACCUCAAGUGAUCGGCCGCCUAAGCCUCCAAAGUGCUGGGAUUACAGGCAUGAGCCACCGUGCCCAGCCUUCCUUCAUCUACUUAUUUUCCUGUGAUGCCUCCAUGUUUUAGAGUAUGUGUCUGAGGGGCAGGAAUAUGUAUUAGAUAUAUCUAGGGCAGUCCCACCAGCUUUACAUUCUUGAGACCUCAUCCAUCAGUUCUUGUUUUGCAGACAUAUACUUCUAUUGACUACAAUGAGAAGUGUGUCUCUUAAAAAGGCUGGAGUGCAGUGGCGUGAUCUCGGCUCCCUACAACCUCCACCUCCCAGCUGCCUGCCUUGGCCUCCCAAAGUGCCGAGAUUGUAGCCUCUGCCCGGCUGCCACCCCGUCUGGGAAGUGAGGAGCGUCUCUGCCUGGCCGCCCAUCGUCUGGGAUGUGAGGAGCCCCUGUGCCCGGCCGCCCAGUCUGGGAAGUGAGGAGCCUCUUCCCGGCCGCCAUCCCGUCUGGGAAGUGAGGAGGGUCUCUGCCCAGCCGCCCAUCGUCUGAGAUGUGGGGAGCGCCUCUGCCCCGCCGCCCCGUCUGGGAUGUGAGGAUCGCCUCUGCCC